rnacentral:rRNA from 1 species
GUGUCAGCAGCCGCGGUAAUACGAAGGGGGCUAGCGUUGCUCGGAAUGACUGGGCGUAAAGGGCGCGUAGGCGGAUGGCACAGUCAGAUGUGAAAUUCCCGGGCUUAACCUGGGGGCUGCAUUUGAUACGUGUGAUCUAGAGUGAGGAAGAGGGUCGUGGAAUUCCCAGUGUAGAGGUGAAAUUCGUAGAUAUUGGGAAGAACACCGGUGGCGAAGGCGGCGACCUGGUCCUUGACUGACGCUGAGGCGCGAAAGCGUGGGGAGCAAACAGGAUUAGAUACCCUGGUAGUCCACGCUGUAAACGAUGUGUGCUGGAUGUUGGGCGACCUAGUCGCUCAGUGUCGUAGCUAACGCGAUAAGCACACCGCCUGGGGAGUACGGCCGCAAGGUUGAA